GAUGAAGAACGUAGCGAAAUGCGAUACGUAAUGUGAAUUGCAGAAUUCAGUGAAUCAUCGAAUCUUUGAACGCAUAUUGCGCUCUCUGGUAUUCCGGAGAGCAUGCUUGUUUGAGUAUCAGUAAACACCUCAACUCCCUUUCUUCUUGAAAUGGAGCUGGACUUGAGUGAUCCCAACGCUUUAUUCAUAAAGUGGCGGGUUACUUGAAAUGCAGGUGCAGCUGGACUUUUCUCUGAGCUAUAAGCAUAUCUAUUUAGUCUGCCUCAAAACAGAUUAUUACCUUUGCUGCAGCUAACAUAAAGGAGAUUAGUUCUUGUGCUGACUGAUGCAGGAUUCACAAAGACCGCUUCGGCUGUCUUUGUAAACUCGAUCUCAAAUCAAGUAAGACUACCCGCUGAACUUAAGCAUAUCAUAAGCGGAGGA
rnacentral:misc_RNA from 1 species